rnacentral:rRNA from 1 species
UACCGAGGUCCCAAGCGUUGUUCGGAUUCACUGGGCGUAAAGGGUGCGUAGGUGGUGCGGUCAGUCGGAUGUGAAAGCUCGGAGCUCAACUCCGAAAUGGCAUUGGAAACUACCUUGCUCGAGGGUUGGAGGGGGGACUGGAAUGCUUGGUGUAGCAGUGAAAUGCGUAGAUAUCAAGCGGAACACCAGUGGCGAAGGCGAGUCCCUGGACAACUCCUGACACUGAGGCACGAAAGCUAGGGGAGCAAACAGG